GCUUGUUUUGGCAGAACACAUACUAAAAUUGGAACGAUACAAAGAAAAUUAAUGAUUAGCAUGGUCUCUGCAAAAGGAUGACAUGCACAUUAGUGACAGGUUCACAUUUUUA